UCAUUGUGGAUACCUUGGGGGUCACCUUGUCCAACAGGUUUCAGGGAGCAAAUGGCUCUACCCCAUAGUGAACAGUUCCUUUCUACAAAUGCUGGGGAACGUGUUCACCAGCCUUGAGUUUCCACCUGCAUGUUCACUGCUAUUACUUCUCAGAGUAUUGUGGCCACCAGCUGAAGAGGUACAUCGUGUAGGAAAGAGUC
rnacentral:snoRNA from 1 species